rnacentral:rRNA from 1 species
CCUACGGGAGGCAGCAGUGGGGAAUAUUGCGCAAUGGGCGAAAGCCUGACGCAGCGACGCCGCGUGAGGGAUGAAGGUCUUCGGAUCGUAAACCUCUGUCAGCAGGGAAGAACGGUCACUGUGCUAAUCAGCCGUGAAUUGACGGUACCUGCAAAGGAAGCACCGGCUAACUCCGUGCCAGCAGCCGCGGUAAUACGGAGGGGGCGAGCGUUAACCGGAAUUAUUGGGCGUAAAGGGCUCGUAGGCGGUAUGUCAAGGCAGCGGUGAAAUCCCCGGGCUCAACGGGGGAACUGCCUUUGAAACUGGGAGACUGGAGUGUGUAAGAGGAGAGUGGAAUUCCAGGUGUAGGAGUGAAAUCCGUAGAUAUAUGGAGGAACAUCAGUGGCGAAGGCGACUAUCUGGCACAUAACUGACGCUGAGGAGCGAAAGCGUGGGUAGCAAACAGGAUUAGAUACCCCAGUAGUC